GGCAGUGUAGUUCAGUGGUAGAACAAGAGAUUCAUACCCUCUAUGUCGGUAGUUCAAUUCUACCCACUGCCU
rnacentral:tRNA from 1 species